rnacentral:lncRNA from 1 species
UGGCCUCUUCUAAAUUUUAUUUCUUUUCUUUAAGAAUCUCUUAAACUAUUCUUUUAUUAUUAAAUUCUUAAAAGAAUUCAAAAAAAAUCUACAAUAAGAAAUUUUAAAGGACUUCAAAAGAAAUCUACAAUAAAUCUUAAAAGAAUCCUUAAAAAAGACUAAAAAAAUAUUAAAACAAUCACAAAUAUAUCUUAAAUAAAUCUCAAUUAAGUCCUAAUUUAAUCCUAGUUGAAAUCCUAAUGAACUUUAAUCAAAUUAUAGGCCAAAUCCUAAAUCCUAAAUCCUAAGAAAUCUCUAAAUUCUAAAUCUUGAAUAAAUCCUAAAUCCUAUAUAUAUCCUAAAUCCUAAAUCCUAAAGAAAUCCUAAAUCCUAAAUCCUAAACAAACUUUAAAUUCUAAAUCCUAAACAAAUCUUAAAUCAAAUUCUAAACUCUAAUCGAAUCUUAAAUCCUAACUAAACCUUAACUAAAUCUUAACCAAAUUCUAAACUUUAAUCUAAAUCCUAAACUAAAAUCCAAUUCUAAAUCUUAACUAAAUUUUAUCCAAAUUCUAAAUCCUAAUCCAAUCCUCAUCUUAAACCAAACUGUAAUCAAAACCUAAGCAAUUCAACCUAACCCUAGUGUAAUUUAGAACCCCAAUAGCUAUUGAUUAAACUAUUAAU